GACAAUUUAACAAUAAUUUUGGCUAAAUUUAAUUCAAAUUGAUUUUCCCUCUUCUUUUCAAUUUAUUACUUAACCAGUUUCUGGUUGUCAAUGCAACCAGAUCAGCUGACUUUUUCCCUCCUAAUUAUGGAAGCGUGAUUGCGCUUCUUAUUGUCUAAUUUUAAUUUUAAUUUAAUGUUAAUGUUAAUUUAGUUUUUUGCUUGUUUGUUAACUGUUGCUUUGUCUUUGAAAAGUGUCAUUAUAAAUUAGCAUCAAGGAGCAAUGGGAAGAUGAAAUUAUGGUCUAGUUCUAUGCGUUCAUCUUGGUGGCUUUUGUAAAUAAACUUUCGAUGCAUUUCUCAUCGUCAUCAUUCUUGGCCUUUCUGGUUUUGAAGCUUUUUACUGUUUGCUUGUCUCUAUUUCUGUGGCCUUUUUGAUCAACUAAAAUGUUAAUGUUACUGAAGUAUAAUUGAAAAUAAAUUUUCACAAAGGUACAGUCGAUCGUAAAUAAAAGAGUUAACUGUUAAAAGGAAACCAUUAAUUGCAUCGAGUUGGCAGUUAUUUGACAGUUUCUCAUCAAAAUGAUCAACAAAAUCAGUCAAAAUUUACGAUAUUAACCUUCUUCGUCAUCAUUUUCAUCUUCUGUUAUUCCUCUUCACCAUCAUAAUCACCAUCAUCUUCAUCAUUCUUUCUCCC